GAGGGGCAGUGUCCCUACCCAGGCUUGGAGGAGGAGCCUCAAGGGGUGUGUGUGGUUGGGGGAGACAGGCGGUGUCACCUGUGCUUAGACCAGGGGCGGUGGGCGGGUACCCUUGAGGUGGCAAGGUCACACUGCUCAUCAGAAGUUUCUCACUAGGGUCUUCUCUGGCCCAGCCUUUGACUGAAGCUGGUCUGGAGACAGGGGCGUUAGAGAAGUGACUCAUAGAUGGCCUAAAUAAGCGGGGCCACUCAAGGACCCAGGACAGGGGGAAGAGGGCCAACCCAUCUGGACCGCAGGCAAACCCCAUGGCCUUUGAGAGAAGAGAGAAGAGGACCCGGUGAAGUAGGCUCCGAGGGCCUCAGCCCAGCAGGAGCGCAGGGAGCUGCACCAGGAACUCACAGAGGAUCAGGGAGAAUUCUGAGAACAUGCUACUGUGGUGCUGCCUAGAGAGGAAGGAUAAAUGAUGACAAGUACAUCUCUGAGUAACGUAUGGGCACUUGUUCAUGAAAACUGUUUUUCUGAAAGCUUGUGAAGGUCUUGAAAUACUCGCUAUCAGUUGAGGACAAACAUUUACACCCUCCUUCCACAGGGAGUUCAAGCAGGCUGGAUGGGUCCAUCUAUGGAUGAUCUUCCCCAGCCCCUUCCUCUUCCCAGCUCAUCCCUGGCUCUCUGUGUGAACAGGUCUCAUCAGUGGAAUGUGGUUGAUGAAGUGAGGUCUUCAAUUUUCUCAUCUACUGUGUGGUCAUGUUAUUUUCCUCAUCUGAGGCUUAAAAACUCACCUGCAUGCAGCACAUGACAGCUUAAAAUCUCUUGUGAACAAAACAGUAACAAAGACACCCACCAGCGUUGAGCAUCCCGUGUUGAUGACAGCGACCACCAGGGGUCAACGUCCUCUUCACAAUCCUGUGUCAGAGCAUCACUUGACUGAUUUCAUUAGCAACUUCCCAGGAGAAUCAGCUUACAAAAUACUUGUCCCAUUUUCCAUGCAGAUGUAACCCAUCUAUUUUACUGAAGAAAUGGGAAGAGCUGAAUGCUGAAUACACUGAAUGUCUGCAGGUUGUGCAAGUUUGUGACUUUAUCACUUUCUAAUUUCUGAUCUGUGUGGACCACUCUACAGAUUUUUCUCACUGGUGUGAUCAGCCUUCUGGAUGUCAAAUAUAAUAGACUUUCAAUAAUAUAAAAGUCAACACAAGCUCCUCAUGGUUUCAGUGCUCAGUGAUGACUCUAAACUUACACAAUGUGUUUCUUUAUUAGUUUUGUUUUCUGGUAUCUCUACUCGGCAUCUUCACCACACCCAUUUUAUGUUUCUUAUACAGGCUUUCUUCUAUGAAAUGCUAUGUCAUGAAUAUGCAAAUAACCUGAGAUCCACUGAGGUAAAUUUGGAUGUCUGUGCCCUGAGAGCAUCACCCAACAACCACAUCCCUCCUCUAUAGAAGCCCCUGAGAACACAGCUCCUCACCAUGGACUGUACCUGGGGGAUCCACUUCUUGGUGGCAGCUGCCACAGGUGUCCAUUCCCAGGUUCAGCUGUUGCAGCCUGGGGCUGAGGUGAAGAAGCCUGGGUCCUCAGUGAAGGUCUCCUGCCAGGCUUCCAGAUACACCUUCACCAAAUACUUUACACGGUGGGUGUGACAAAGCCCUGGACAAGGGCAUAGUGGAUGGGAUGAAUCAACCCUUACAAUGAUAACACACACUAUGCACAGACGUUCUGGGGCAGAGUCACCAUUACCAGUGACAGGUCCAUGAGCACAGCCUACAUGGAGCUGAGCAACCUGAGAUCUGAAGACAUGGUCAUGUAUUACUGUGUGAGAGACACAGUGCAAAAACCCACAUCCUGAGAGUGUCAGAAACCCCAGGAAGGAGACACCUGUGCUGACACAGAGGAGAUGACAAAGAUUAUUAGAUUAAAGAUUUGCUUAGAAAAUGACAUUAAGUCAUUAAAGAAAAGGAACAAUAUUAAUGUGUAUUUGAGAAAUUUUAAUUAUUUGAGAGAUUUUUCAUACAACAUUUAUUCUGUAAACAAAUUUCAAUGAUUAGAGAAUUAAUCAAAUUAAUGAAACUAAUAUAGAACUUCCUCUGAAGGUAUCUCUGUAAACAUUAAUUUCUUAAUCAGUGCUGUAAGUAUUUUGGAAUACAGACACAAAAUCACAUUUUAAGUCUGCAUUUAUAUCUAUUAAAAAUGCCAAAAAAAUCUCCUUUUGUGCGUGUAGCAUUUUGAAUUCCCACCAUCAAUGCAUGAUAGUUCUUGGUUUUCCACAUUCAUAUUGCCAUGUAUCCUUAUGAGAGUUGUGUGUUUUAACCAAUCUAGUAGGUGAGUAAUGGGAUCUAAUUUUUAUUUAAAUGCACAUGUCCCUCAAAAAGUUCAUAUUUAACAAUUUUCCAAUAACUUUUGUUGAGAUGCCU
rnacentral:lncRNA from 1 species